UCGGUACUCAUACCCGGUCGAUGGUGCAUCGCCUUUUCUCCCCACCGACUCCGAGUCCCUUCAAGGGUUUUACUUGCCCCAUUGGAGCAGGAAUACGGCGAGAAGAGUCUCUUUUGCGCCCCUCAUUCGAUCUCAGAUGGCGGGUGGGACCGUUGGAUUCCCGGCCGAGGGAGCCGGCCCCGCCGGUCACAACCUCGCUCGCACCUUCAAAUACCUGAUGGGUAAAUCGAUCUCAGACGUGCAUUAAUUCGCAUGAUUUCAUGAUCUUUUUGCCUCCGGUUUCUUGAUCGUUAACUUUAUUGUUAUCAAUUCUUUCUUGGGUUUUCAGCAACGCAGUUCCUCUCGAGGGGAAUACC
rnacentral:lncRNA from 1 species